UAGGGUUUGAUAGGGGACCUCUAUAAAUAGGAGGGAUUCAGAGCCUCAUAGGCAAGAGCCUUUGCUUGCCUCUCCUAUUCUCCUUCCCCUCUCCACCUCAGAGUAGGCUUGGAGUUUUGAGGAGCGUCGUCGCAACCCUACUGUGUGGAUCACCGCUAGAGAGGAGGACGCUUGACCUCCUUCACCCUCUCCUAAAGAUCUGC
rnacentral:lncRNA from 1 species